UCACGGUGUGGGUCACAGGAGUGAUGUAAAUGGUCAGAAAUCAGGUCACUUCAUCGUCAUAACCCUCCCUUUAAGGCGGUAGUGUCUGCAUUCUGAUAUGUCAUUCUUAGUCUAAAGAGCCCCCUCAAAUGUCCCCAAAAAAGCUCCUAUACUUUUAACAUUGUCCAAAAUCCAAAAACUCUCCAUGUCCAAAAUGUGCGUAAGCCAGCUCCUUAGGUCAACUCAAAGUUGCCCACAUUUUCCCACUACUUUUUCCUUUAUAAAUCCCAAAGUUUGAAUGGCAAGUUACUUUUGCAGUUUUGCAACCCCAUUUUGUGGGUAAGCAAGCUUUAUAAAUGACACCCCAUGCCACUAUAAAACUUACUGAUGUACAUCUGCAGCAUGCAAGGACCAUUUACAGGGGUUGAUUUUAUUUGUCACAGUUUUCACCCCUUCAGAGUUUGUAGGUAUGAACGUUCUUGUUCUCUGCACCAUCACAGUUGAUUCAUUGGUUGAGCCCCAAUACAUAAAAAAUAAAUUAAAUGAACAGGAUAAAUAUUAUAUAUAUAAUGUGUGUGUAUGUAUGUAUGUGUGUGUAAGCUGUUGAAAUAUAUGCUCAUAUAUUUAUUAAUAAAUAUCUAAUAUAUACAUAUGAGACUCACAUGGUCAAGUGUGAUUUUAGUUUUCAGCAGAAACAGACUUUUUUGGGAGUGGGGGUGGGGAGUGGCUCUGCACCUGCACUGGACAGGGGAGCAAAAGUUCAUGAUGCAUUCAGGGAAAAUUGGUGUGUCCAACUAUACUGAAAUAAAAACAUCUAAAGAGGUUUAUUUGUGAAUGCUAUGAGUUUUCUGUAAAAUGAUUAUUGCUUAAAUAUUGCACAUGAAAUUAGCUCAUGCCUGAAGUCUGUUAAGACAUUAUCAGCUGGAAAACCCUAAAUUUUUAAUGUAUCAAGUUUGCAGUCUCAUUGUUCGUGAAAGCAGCAUGUGCAUUGUAGAUGGAAAGUACCGGAGCUGCCCUGGAUCUCUCCAACUUUGUCAGUCUUUGACUAAUUCUACAGAGGAAAAGAGGAAUAACUCCACAGCCCAAAAAGACAUGCAGAGCCAAUGCCCCUCAGGAGCUGGGAUUCCAGAGGAUUUCAAUGAGAAAGAGAAAACAGCAUCUUUCAAAAGAUAAAAGCUGAGAAACAAAAGCAAUGGGCUCGACCAAAGUUCUGAAGAUGAACCCACCUUGUGCACCCAAAGGCCUACAGGGAAAUCAAAGAAGAAGCAGACCAACAAAGGAACACCCACCCAUUCCCCUUCCCUGCUCACUGUCCAUGGUUUUACUCAAGAUCAUCCAGAUAUGAUGAGCCAAGAACCUUCAGGAGCUGAGUGGUCUAAGGAGUCAAAUGGAAAGGACAAAACAGACAUGGAUCAACAGGAUUUAACCUCUAAGAAAUUCAACCGAAAGAUUUGGAGCAAAUCUGGGAAAGAAGCGGUUUGGCAACAGCUUGGUCGGUACAUCACUCUUGAAAGAGUUCCUGGUAAAAUGCUGUGUGUGAAAGCACUCAGUACAGAGACAGCACUUUAGAACAGAAGUUGGGAAGAUGUAAAAAACUGCAUCUAUAACCACAUCCCUGAUCAAAAAAGAAAAAGGCUGUAGUUUUUGCGUUAAAAGCAGCAGGAGCUGAGUUAAUGCAUGUAAUGUUACAAGCAGAGCAUUUAAUGAUACCUAGUUAUUUUUAUUUUAUGAGACAUUGGAAAUAUGUUAAAAACUAUAAUUAUAACAGCAUUGCAGAUCAAAAAUGUUACAAGCAGAGCAUUUUAUGGUACCUAAAGAUAUUUAAAUUUUAUUACAUGUUGGAAAGAUGUUAAAAACUAUAAGUAGAACAGCAUCACAGUAGCAUUGCAGGGAUUAAUCGUUUUGACUAUUAACCCUGGUUAACCCCAAGUAAAUAGAUCUUCAACACCAUCAAACUAAAACAAAAAGACAAUAGCGUAACUCGUAAG